UACGAAGGUCCCAAGCGUUAUCCGGAUUUAUUGGGUUUAAAGGGUGCGUAGGCGGUCUAUUAAGUCAGUGGUGAAAGCCCCAAGCUUAGCUUGGGAAUUGCCAUUGAUACUGAUGACCUUGAGUACAUUUGAAGUGGGCGGAAUGUGUCAUGUAGCGGUGAAAUGCUUAGAUAUGACACAGAACACCGAUUGCGUAGGCAGCUCACUAAACUGUAACUGACGCUGAGGCACGAAAGCGUGGGGAGCAAACAGG
rnacentral:rRNA from 1 species